rnacentral:lncRNA from 1 species
AAUUUUAUGUGUUCCUAACUGUUCUCCCACAUAAGUCCAAAACCAAAUCACUUUAUUAUUCUUCUUCUUCUUCUUCAAUCUCUCUCCCUCCCUCGCAUCGAUUUUCAAUUUCGUAAUCUUUUCAUCGUUGAAACACAGAGAUUGAGAGAGAGAGAGAUUCUCCUCCUCCUCUCUUUCGUUUCUUCUUCUUCUUCAAGUUUUCGUGAUCUCGAUUCUCCCUAGCAGUACCGUCUCCGGGUACAACUUCUCGCUGAUUUUGGUAGCUUCGAUUUCUCUGCGUGGUUUAGAUUAUCGUUGAUUUGAGCAAGUACUUAGGUCUCUUGAUUCUUCGAUUUAGUUUACGCUAGUGUUAGAUGAAAACAUAACUUUCUUUUUCUUCGUCGAUGAUGAUGAUUUUCUUUACUGGAUUAGUUCAUACCUUUGCUUCUUAAUUUUUUCUCAGAUUAUUCUAAUUUCACAUCUGAUCAUUUGCAGUUAAUCAAUCAUACAGAGUUUAUCGCUGAUCUCCCAGUUUCGGUAAAGAAGCGAUCAAGUUUAUAAGGUAAAUAAAUGUCACGAGCUUCCCUUUUCACACUUGAUUGUUUUGCUAUCUGAAAUUGAUACAUUAGAUUUUGCUAUCAUGUUACCAAGAUUUGUCAUUAAGAAGUUUCCACUAAUUAACUGCUUCGAAUCCUCGUAACUUUUUUCCCACAAAUUUAUUCCUCAAAAUUAUACAUUGAUCUUUUCCCUUAUCCAUACAGGCUGAACCCAUUAAGCUGAUUCUGGAUCUUCCCUGGAGCUCUAAGGAAAAGGGGUAAGAGAAACUAGAAACUCCUCCCUAUAUUUACCGUUUUGCUAGGCAGUAAAUUCCUUUCUAAAAUAUAGUUUAUAAUAUGCUUAUUUAAGAUCGGAUCGAGAUCGGUUUAUUUGAAACUGUAUUAUUUAUGUAGUUUGUUAAAAGGGGUAAAAUAAGAACAAAAAGUAACAACUCAUAUUUUCUGAGCUAUCAUAGCUGUCUUUUAUCGUUCUAGAGGUUUGUGCUUUUCCUAACUUGCUGAGGUGGCUCCACAUGAUAUUUCUCGUCUCACCCAAUUCCAUGAGUUACCAACUUAGACCCGGCACUGUAAAGGGAUCAGCGUUAAUCCAAUUUCUUAUUAAUUUACGUUUAUAAGUUAGCCUUACGGAUGUGUUUUCUAAAUACCGAGGUAGGGAGUGAUUUUGUGAAGAGGUCAGCUGCAUUGUCGCAUGAUCAAACAUAUUUUACUUCGAUCUCUUUAUUCUUUUCGAGCUCUUGAGUGUAUGAGAAAAACUUCGGAGGUAUAUGUUUGGUUCUAUCGCUUUUGAUAUAUCCUUCCUUCGUUUGAGCAACACAUGCCGCGUUAUCUUCAUAUAGAAUAGUUGGCUCCGUAUUUUCGUCAAUCCCACUGCUUGAACAGAUGUGUCGGCUUAUUGAUCUUAGCCAUACACAUUCUCUACUUGCUUCAUGGAGUGCAAUGAUCUCAGCGUGAUUUGAAGAAGUAGCAACAAGUGUCUGCUUCUGAGAACGCCAAGAUAUGGCGGUGCCUCCAAUUGUAAAAACAUAUCCUGUCUGGGAUCGAGCUUUGUGUGGAUCUGACAAAUAACCUGCAUCUGCAAAACCAAUCAUUUGACCUUUUGAACUUUUAGGAUAAAACAAGCCUAAAUCAGUUGUUCCUUGAAGGUAACGAAAGACAAUGUCUUCGUGUUGGAGAUGAGCUAAAUCUUGCUAGAAGAUUAACAGCGAAUGAUAUAUCAGGCCGUGUACAAUUUGCAAGGUACAUCAACGCUCCAAUUGCACUUAGAUAUGGUACUUCCGGACCAAGUAUCUCUUCUUUUUCCUCAGGUGGUCGAAAUGGAUCACUUUCAAUGUUAAGUGAUCUAACGACCAUCGGAGUACUAAGAGGAGUUGAUUUAUCCAUGUUAAAUCGUUUCAACACUCUUUUAGUGUAUGUGGAUUGAUGCACAAAUAUACCAUUUUGUGAAUGUUCUAUUUGUAUGCCAAGACAAUACUGUGUCUGUCCAAGAUCUUUCAUCUCAAAUUCUCCUUUGAGAUAGUCUGAUGCCUUUUGUAUUUCUUUUUGAGUUCCAAUAAUAUUUAGAUCAUCAACAUAUACCGCGAUUAUCACAAAUCCGGAUGUUGUUUUCUUGAUGAAAACACAUGGGCAUAUAGGAUCAUUCACAUAUCCUUCUUUUGUUAAAUGUUCACUGAGACGAUUGUACCACAUACGUCCAGAUUGUUUUAACCCAUAUAAUGAUCUUUGCAAUUUUAUUGCACAUAACUCUUUAGGUUUGGAACUUAAUGCUUCUGGCAUUUUAAAUCCAUCAGGAACUUUCAUGUAGAUAUCAGUAUCUAAUGAUCCAUAUAGAUAAGCUGUAACAACAUCCAUGAGACGCAUCUCUAGAUUUUUAUCAGCUGCUAGACUCAUCAGGAAUCUAAACGUGAUUGCAUCCAUAACUGGAGAAUACGUUUCUUCAUAAUCGAUUCCAGGUCUUUGAGAAAAACCUUGAGCCACUAGACGAGCUUUGUAUCUCGUAACCUCAUUUUUCUCAUUUCGUUUUCGAACGAAAACCCAUUUGUACCCAACUGGUCUCACAUCUGCAGGUGUGGGCACAAUAGAUCCGAAUACUUCUCGUUUAUUAAGCGAAUCAAGUUCGGCUUGUAUUGCAUCUUUCCAUUGUUCCCAAUCAUGUCUCUUUUGACAUUCAUAGACAGAUUUUGGUUCUGGAUCAUCGACUUCUUCAUUUAUUUCACUUGACACAAUAUAUGAGAAAGCAUCAUCAAGUUCAUUUUGUUCAUUUCUAUUCCAUAUCCUUUUAUUAUGGAUGUAGUUGAUAGAAAUUUCAUGAUUACUUUCCGACUCAUGAUGCUCAACUUUCUCAGUAUCCUCAUUAUUUGUUUCUUCCAAAAUACUUUCUGCUAUUUUGGAUGUGUCAUUUAUCUUGACAUCCUUUUGUUUUCUAGGAUUUUUAUUCUUAGAACCAGCAGGUCUGCCACGCUGCAGGCGUGUUUUAGACUCUCGUGUAUCGUCCGCUUUUCCUUGCUCAUUUGAUAUUUUGAUACAAGCAGGAGCAUUCACGGCUGGUAUAUGAGAUUUAGUUACCGUCUUGGUAUCCGCAAAUGCAUCAGGUAGCUGAUUAGCUAUACUCUGUAAAUGCAUGAUUCGUCGAACUUCUAGUUCAGACUCUUUAGUAGGAGGGUCAAGAUAUAGUAAUGAAGGUACACUCCAUUUGAUGUCAUUUUCUACAUUUUUGUUUUCUCCCCCUAGAACUGGAGUACUUUCUCAUCAAAAUGACAAUCAGUGAAACGUGCCGUAAAAACGUCACCAGUCUGUGGUUCUAGAUAUCGUAUAAUUGAUGGAGAAUCACAACCAACAUAUAUUUCCAAUCUUCUUUGUGGUCCCAUCUUUGUACGUUGCGGUGGUGCUACAGGCACAUAUACCGCACAACCAAAGAUUCUAAAGUGGGAAAUGUUUGGUUCUCGACCAAACGCUAACUGUAGUGGGGAAUACUUAUGGUAUGCACUCGGUCUGAUCCGAAUGAGUGCUUCUGCAUGCAAAAUGGCAUGUCCCCAUACAGAGGUUGGAAGUUUUGAUCUCAUGAUCAAUGGUCUUGCAAUCAAUUGCAGACGCUUAAUUAAAGAUUCAGCCAAACCAUUUUGCGUAUGAACAUGAGCAACCGAAUGUUCAACUUCAAUUCCCAUUACCAUACAAUAGUCAUUGAAUGCUUGGGAUGUGAAUUCACCAGCGUUGUCUAGUCUAACUCUUUGAAUAGUAUAAUCAGGAAACUGUGCUCGCAGUUUGAUUAUCUGAGUUAGAAAUCUCGCAAAUGCCACAUUUCGAGAUGAUAAUAGACAAACGUGUGACCAUCUACUGGAUGCGUCAAUUAAUACCAUAAAAUAGUGGAAUGGUCCACAAGGUGGGUGUAUAGGUCCACAUAUAUCGCCUUGAAUUCUUUCAAGGAACUUUGGUGAUUCUUUAUCGAUUUUGGUUGGCGAUGGCCUUACGAUCAAUUUUCCUAGAGAACAUGCAACACAUGUCAUUUUAUUCCCUUGAGAAAUCUCCUGGAUUUUCAGUGGAUGACCAUGUGAACUUUCUAUGAUUUUACGCAUCAUUGUAGUUCCUGGGUGGCCAAGGCGAUCAUGCCAUAACGUGAACUCUUCUGGGUUCCGUUCUACUACAAGAUUUGAUUCGAUCUCAUCGAUAUAAGUAUGAUGUAACCCCGAAGGAAGCUCUGGAAACUUUUCCAAUAUGUGUUUUCUGCCACAUUUCUCAGAAGUUACAUACAUGUAUUUCUUUCCAUCCUCAGUUGCAGACUGAGUAUCAUAUCCGUGAAGAUAUAUGUCUUUAAAACUCAACAAAUUCCUUUUAGAACUUGGAGAAUAUAGAGCAUUAUUUAUGGAAAAUUUUGUUCCAUUCGGUAAAGUAAAGUUUGCUUUACCAGUUCCUUCAAUCACGUCUGCAGGACCUGAUAUUGUAUUGACGAAAAUUCUUGUCGGUUUUAUAUCGGAGAAAUAUCUCUUUUGUCUCAGAAUAGUGUGCGUUGUUCCACUAUCUGGUAUGCAUAUAUCACGAAUCCGUUUCUUGGAUUUUGCUUCAUUAGCAUUCUGAUCCAUUUCUGAAAUUGUCAUAAAUGUUAAUAAAAGAAAAACAUAAAAUUCAUUCAUAUAAUAAUCAUAUAAGGAAACACACAAUAAGCAUACAUUAAGGUGACGUUAAAAACAUCAUUAUUUGUUUAAAACAGGAAAUGUAAUAAUUAUACAUGACUAUACUGAAAACUAUUCAGUAGUCUUAUUAUACGCAUUUUGGCUCUCUUCAGGAGUAAUCUAGUCCAGCUCAUUUGCGAAGUCGGAGGCAUCGAGGUACAAUGUCCCUUCAAAGUUUUCAGUGAGGUUCACUUCUUUAGCUUUGCCUUUCGUGGACUCUUGAUAUAACUUACAGAGAUGUGGAGAAGUACGACAUGUACGGGACCAAUGUCCUCGAUUGGACUGGUUCCUUCUUUCUGAAUUUUCUACCGCCGUAGCAUUCACUUCAGGGAAUGCUUUGGCUCCCGUAGGUCGGGAAUUGUGGUUUUUGAUUAAGAGCUCAUUGUUCUUUUCAGCCAACAUGAGUGCAACCAUCAAUUCAGAAAAUUUCGUGUACCCGCAUUUUUUGUAAAUUUCGGGCAAGAAGUGAAGCUGUUUGUGGAAAGUGUUAUAUGUUUUAUUCAUCAUUUCUGCCUCAGAGACAGGAUUACCACAAUACUUCAGGAGUGCAACUAUCCUCAGGACAGCGGAAUUGUAAUCCUCAACCUUUUGAAAAUCUUGGAACCUCAGAUUUUUCCACUCUUCUAGAGCGUGAGGGAGGUUGAUUUGUCUCUGGUUAUCGAACCUUUCUUUUAAAGUUUGCCACAGUUCAGCUGGGUCCUCGAUGUUUGCAUAGUCUUGCGUUAGAUUUUCAUCUAAAUGCUUCUUCAGGAAGAUUAUCGCUUCGGCUAUAUGCUCGGGUGGUGAUUUGUUACCGAUUACAAUUGUUUCGGUUAUCUUUUUCAUCACCAGAUAUGGUUUCAC